rnacentral:tRNA from 1 species
GGAGAGUUGGCAGAGUGGUUGAAUGCACCUGACUUGAAAUCAGACGAGGGGCGUGAGUUCCUCCCGGGGUUCGAAUCCCUGACUCUCCGCCA